rnacentral:lncRNA from 1 species
CACCCAUGCUUCUGGCCCUGGCUCUGCCCCCUGUCUCCCCAGCUGUGUUUGGGUUGGGCCCAAGGUGCCAGCCUGCCUCGCCAGCAGCUUGGGGGACAUCUGAGCCCUCCAGGCCUGGCGCCAGGGCCCAAGUCACUGACUGAGGGUGGGGGAAGAGCCUGGGAGCCAGGUGGGGGCCUCUCCCUGCUGUCAGCACUCAUGAUGGAUGAGGGUUAGGGCAGGGAGCCGGGCCAGGGGGCUAGAGGCCUGCCUGCUGCAGGGGCGCUGGGGCUGGCCUCCUGCGGUCUGCAGGAAGAGCCUCUGCCACUCGCAGCUGGGGUGUGGGUCAGGGCUCCCACCCAGCAGGGGUGUUUAAAGGCCCAGAAGGUGCCGAGCCUGCCCACUCCCCUGCACCAUGGGCAUCUGGGCCUUGUCUGCAGCCCUUUUCCUGCUCUGUCUGACUCCCGAGAGCCUGCAAGGCGGGCUGCCCCCGCUCCCUGCUGGCCUGCGGAUAGGCUACGGCCCUCCCAGGGGGCUGGAAGCAGGCUUUGGAGGGAGUGCUAAACCUCAGAAGCCAGGCAUUGGAGCAGGUGUGAACCCUCAGAAGCCAGGAUAUGGAACCAGGCCAGGAGCUGCAGCCUUCCUAGGGGUGGGAGCACAGCCAGGCCCUGUGCCUCAGAAUGGCCAUGGACCAGGGCUCAGCAGUGGGAAUGGGAUGGGAGCUGGUCCCUUUCUGGGAGCUGGAGUCCAGCCAGGAUUUGCCAAUGGAAACAGCCUGGCACCCCAGCCAGGUCCUGCAACACUGAAUGGCUUUGGAGAAGGUAAAGAGGGGAUGGUGAUGGAGGAUGGGAGCCCAGGGCUGAGGUUCUGGGCAAGGCCCAGAGAUGAAGGGCCUUUACCUACUCAUCUGCCCCCAGGCUUUGGAGGAGUUAGAAAGCUUGGGAAGCCAGGUGAAGCCCUUACUGCACCUGUCUCUGCCGUACUUUAUCAGCCUGUGCUCUUCCCAGGUCCUUGAUCUUCCCCAUUUUCUUUUGCUCUGUAUCUGUAGGACUUGGCAACAGGAAUGGGCUGGAAGCUGGGAUCUUCCUAGGAGCAGGGUCCCAGCCAGCUGAGCAUGGGGGUUCCCACAGGUGGGGCUGCUGAGACAGGGACUCAACAGUCUCUCUUUCUCAGGCCCUGGGGGAGGACUAAGACCUCAAGAGUGAGACCCACUUACUCGCCUCCAAUUCGAUCUCACACAACAAACACUCAUUCAACAAAUCAAUGCAGCCAGUCAUGAAAGCACACUACUCGAGAGGCUGAGGCGGGAAGACCACAAGUUCCAGGCCAGCCUGGGCAACUUAGCAAGCCUCUGCCUCAAAAUAAAAUAUAAUAAAGGACUAGGGAUGUAGCUCAGUGGUAGAGCACUUGCUUAGCAUGAGAAAGGCUCUGGGUUCAAUCCCCAGCACCACAAAAACAAGACAAAAUGAAAUAAUCAAAAAUCAAUGUAUGGACCACUGCUGUUCUAGGUCAGCUAGGUGCUGGAGUUGGCUCUCCCAGAGCCUGCGCCAGCUAGGGGACGGACAGGACAACAGUCUAGAGUACAGUGCUGGGACAGGAAGUGGAGGCCAAGGAGGAGAGCUGGCCAGGGCCCACUGAAAAGCUGGGGGCGGCUUGAGCGGGGCAAGGUGAGAAGAGG